AGUGAACGCUGGCGGUAGGCCUAACACAUGCAAGUCGAACGGCAGCACAGUAAGAGCUUGCUCUUACGGGUGGCGAGUGGCGGACGGGUGAGGAAUACAUCGGAAUCUACUUUUUCGUGGGGGAUAACGUAGGGAAACUUACGCUAAUACCGCAUACGACCUACGGGUGAAAGCAGGGGAUCUUCGGACCUUGCGCGAUUGAAUGAGCCGAUGUCGGAUUAGCUAGUUGGCGGGGUAAAGGCCCACCAAGGCGACGAUCCGUAGCUGGUCUGAGAGGACGAUCAGCCACACUGGAACUGAGACACGGUCCAGACUCCUACGGGAGGCAGCAGUGGGGAAUAUUGGACAAUGGGCGCAAGCCUGAUCCAGCCAUACCGCGUGGGUGAAGGAGGCCUUCGGGUUGUAAAGCCCUUUUGUUGGGAAAGAAAAGCAGCAGGUUAAUACCCCGCUGUUCUGACGGUACCCAAAGAAUAAGCACCGGCUAACUUCGUG
rnacentral:rRNA from 1 species